GACGAACGCUGGCGGCGUGCUUAACACAUGCAAGUCGAGCGGAGCGGCGAACGGGUGAGUAACGCGUGAGUAACUGCCCCCCUCUCUGGGAUAACAGUUGGAAACGGCUGCUAAUACCGGAUAGUGGGGGAUGAUUCGCGUCCUCUCAGCUUGUGGGGUGGGUAGUGGCCUACCAAUGCGACGACGGGUAGCCGGCCUGAGAGGGCCAACGGACACAAUGGGCUGCUAUACGGCCCAAACUCCUACGGGAGGCAGCAGUGGGAAAUAUUGCACAAUGGUGGAAACCCUGAGGCAGCAACGCCGGGUGCGGGAUGACGGCCUUCGGGUUGUAAACCGCUUUCAGCCAUGACGCGGUAGUGGCAGAAGAAGCACCGGCUAACUACGUGCCAGCAGCCGCGGUAAUAC
rnacentral:rRNA from 1 species